rnacentral:rRNA from 1 species
CCUACGUGAGGCAGCAGUGAGGAAUAUUGGUCAAUGGCCGUAAGGCUGAACCAGCCAAGUCGCGUGAAGGAAGAAGUAUCUAUGGUUUGUAAACUUCUUUUAUAGGGGAAUAAAGGUAUCCACGUGUGGAUAUUUGCAUGUACCCUAUGAAUAAUCAUCGGCUAACUCCGUGCCCGCAGCCGCGGUAAUACGGAGGAUGCGAGCGUUAUCCGGAUUUAUUGGGUUUAAAGUGUUCGUAGGUUGUUUUUUAAGUCAGCGGUGAAAGUUUGUGGCUCAACAAUAAAAUUGCCGUUGAAACUGGAAGACGUGAGUGUGUUUGAGGUAGGCGGAAUGCGUGGUGUAGCGGUGAAAUGCAUAGAUAUCACGCAGAACUCCGAUUGCGAAGGCAGCUUACUAGGCCAUAACUGACACUGAAGCACGAAAGCGUGGGGAUAAAACAGGAUUAGAUACCCCGGUAGUC